AAUCAUAGGGAAUUUCAAGGGGUUGAACUCAGUCAUAUGGGAUCUGAAAAGUUGUUACAUCUUCAAUAGUGGAGAGAUGUUAUGCCACUAUGAUUCCUUGGUUCAUCAAUUCUUGGAUAAUAGCUUUCAAAACUUCACAAUCUUGUGGGUUAAUUAAACAAUGCUCAUAGUCAGAGUUACAAAUUGGAAACAAACUACUUAUUAAAAAUUGAUUUUUGAUAUCAAUCAGAGGGGUCUUCAAU
rnacentral:lncRNA from 1 species